UCUCCUAUAGCUCAGUGGUUGAGCAUCUGACCGGUGUGCAGUAGGUCCUAGGUUUGACUCCUGUUGGGGGAA